ACAGGAUUAGAUACCCUGGUAGUCCACGCCGUAAUUUAUGCUCACUCGCUGUUGGCUAUAGAUCGUCAUCGGCUAAUGGAUACCGAUAAGUGAGCCACCUGGGGAGUACGAUCGCAAGAUUGAUACUCAAAGGAAUUGACGGGGUCCCGCACAUAGUGGAGGAACAUGUGGUUUAAUUCGAUGAUACGCGAGGAACCUUACCUGGGCUUAAAUGUAGAGUGCAUAAAGUGGAAACAUUUUUUUCCUUCGGGACUCUUUACAAGGUGCUGCAUGGUUGUCGUCAGCUCGUGCCGUGAGGUGUCGGGUUAAGUCCCAUAACGAGCGCAACCCCUAUCGUUAGUUACCAGCACGUAGUGGUGGGGACUCUAGCGAAACUGCCGGUGUAAACCGUGAGGAAGGUGGGGAUGACGUCAAAUCAGCACGGCCCUUAUGUCCAGGGCUACACACGUGUUACAAUGGUCGGUACAGUGGGCAGCCACAUAGCAAUAUGGAGCUAAUCUCAAAAGCCGAUCUCAGUUCGGAUUGGAGUCUGCAACCCGACUCCAUGAAGGUGGAUUCGCUAGUAAUCGCGCAUCAGCCAUGGCGCGGUGAUACGUUCCCGGGCCUUGUACACACCGCCCGUCAAGCCAUGGAAGUUUGGGGUGCCUGAAGUUCGUAACCGCAAGGAGCGA
rnacentral:rRNA from 1 species